GAUGAACGCUGGCGGCGUGCUUAACACAUGCAAGUCGAACGAAGCAUUUAGGACAGAUUACUUCGGUUUGAAGUUCUUUAUGACUGAGUGGCGGACGGGUGAGUAACGCGUGGGUAACCUGCCUUGUACUGGGGGAUAGCAGCUGGAAACGGCUGGUAAUACCGCAUAAGCGCACAAUGUUGCAUGACAUGGUGUGAAAAACUCCGGUGGUAUAAGAUGGACCCGCGUCUGAUUAGCUAGUUGGUGAGAUAACAGCCCACCAAGGCGACGAUCAGUAGCCGACCUGAGAGGGUGACCGGCCACAUUGGGACUGAGACACGGCCCAGACUCCUACGGGAGGCAGCAGUGGGGAAUAUUGCACAAUGGAGGAAACUCUGAUGCAGCGACGCCGCGUGAGUGAAGAAGUAAUUCGUUAUGUAAAGCUCUAUCAGCAGGGAAGAUAGUGACGGUACCUGACUAAGAAGCUCCGGCUAAAUACGUG
rnacentral:rRNA from 1 species